GACGAACGCUGGCGGCGUGCUUAACACAUGCAAGUCGAACGGAAAGGCCCUGCUUUUGUGGGGUGCUCGAGUGGCGAACGGGUGAGUAACACGUGAGUAACCUGCCCUUGACUUUAGGAUAACUUCAGGAAACUGGGGCUAAUACCGGAUAGGAGCUCCUGCUGCAUGGUGGGGGUUGGAAAGUUUCGGCGGUUGGGGCUGGACUCGCGGCUUAUCAGCUUGUUGGUGGGGUAGUGGCUUACCAAGGCUUUGACGGGUAGCCGGCCUGAGAGGGUGACCGGCCACAUUGGGACUAAGAUACGGCCCAGACUCCUACGGGAGGCAGCAGUGGGGAAUAUUGCACAAUGGGCGGAAGCCUGAUGCAGCAACGCCGCGUGCGGGAUGACGGCCUUCGGGUUGUAAACCGCUUUCGCCUGUGACGAAGCGUGAGUGACGGUAAUGGGUAAAGAAGCACCGGCUAACUACGUG
rnacentral:rRNA from 1 species